GUCAACAUCCGUUUUUGAACUGGUCAAGGUGUUCUUCACGAUCUCCAUGGAAAAUAUUCACGCUUUCCCUUUUUGCUCAGAUAAUACAACAUUGUAAAUCUCUAUCUGAAAAUACUGACCAAAAUGAAUCAAAUUCGAAAGCAGGAUGGAGAAAGAUGUUCACUAUGAAUCAAAAAUUCAAUACAGAGGACUUUUAUAUACAUGUAUCAACAAAAACACUAUCAGAAUAUGCACAUAUACAUCAAGAAAACAGUAAUCAAAUGGAAUGUCAAAGACGAGUAAUGUUGAAAGCAAAACUAUUUUGUUUAAAAUAGAAAACAAUAUGACUAGAAUAUAUAAACAUGAUUAAGGUACACUGUCAGCAUGGUCAGAAGAUUUUUUUUUACUGGAGGAUGAAAAUGUUGAUACCUGGAAUCAGCAAUGUAUAUGAAAAUGAAAAUAAGAUAUAUUCAUGUACAGAAUGGUAAACAUGUGGUUCAAUUGUUUAUUAGCAGACAUUUUUGUUGAACAUAUGCAGGAUUGAACAAAUGAAACUUAAGCUGACUAUGGGCUCAAUGUGAAGUAAAAAGAGGAUUUUGAAAUAUGCAAG